rnacentral:rRNA from 1 species
GGGCGCAAGCCUGAUCCAGCAAUGCCGCGUGCAGGAAGAAGGCCUUCGGGUUGUAAACUGCUUUUGUACGGAACGAAACGGUUUNGNNUAAUACCCGGGGCUAAUGACGGUACCGUAAGAAUAAGCACCGGCUAACUACGUGCCAGCAGCCGCGGUAAUACGUAGGGUGCAAGCGUUAAUCGGAAUUACUGGGCGUAAAGCGUGCGCAGGCGGUUUUGUAAGACAGGNGUGAAAUCCCCGGGCUCAACCUGGGAAUUGCNNUUGUGACUGCAAAGCUNGAGUGCGGCAGAGGGGGAUGGAAUUCCGCGUGUAGCAGUGAAAUGCGUAGAUAUGCGGAGGAACACCGAUGGCGAAGGCAAUCCCCUGGNCCUGCACUGACGCUCAUGCACGAAAGCGUGGGGAGCAAACAGGAUUAGAUACCCUGGUAGUCCACGCCCUAAACGAUGUCAACUGGUUGUUGGGUCUCUUCUGACUCAGNAANCG